AGAGUUCGUUUCUGGCUCAGGAUGAACGCUGGCGGCGUGCUUAACACAUGCAAGUCGAACGAAGCACUUUAUUUGAUUUCCUUCGGGACUGAUUAUUUUGUGACUGAGUGGCGGACGGGUGAGUAACGCGUGGGUAACCUGCCUUGUACAGGGGGAUAACAGUUGGAAACGGCUGCUAAUACCGCAUAAGCGCACAGCAUCGCAUGAUGCAGUGUGAAAAACUCCGGUGGUAUAAGAUGGACCCGCGUUGGAUUAGCUAGUUGGUGAGGUAACGGCCCACCAAGGCAACGAUCCAUAGCCGACCUGAGAGGGUGACCGGCCACAUUGGGACUGAGACACGGCCCAAACUCCUACGGGAGGCAGCAGUGGGGAAUAUUGCACAAUGGGCGAAAGCCUGAUGCAGCGACGCCGCGUGAGCGAAGAAGUAUUUCGGUAUGUAAAGCUCUAUCAGCAGGGAAGAUAAUGACGGUACCUGACUAAGAAGCACCGGCUAAAUACGUGCCAGCAGCCGCGGUAAUACGUAUGGUGCAAGCGUUAUCCGGAUUUACUGGGUGUAAAGGGAGCGCAGGCGGUGCGGCAAGUCUGAUGUGAAAGCCCGGGGCUCAACCCCGGUACUGCAUUGGAAACUGUCGUACUAGAGUGUCGGAGGGGUAAGCGGAAUUCCUAGUGUAGCGGUGAAAUGCGUAGAUAUUAGGAGGAACACCAGUGGCGAAGGCGGCUUACUGGACGAUAACUGACGCUGAGGCUCGAAAGCGUGGGGAGCAAACAGGAUUAGAUACCCUGGUAGUCCACGCCGUAAACGAU
rnacentral:rRNA from 1 species